rfam:Triticum aestivum genome assembly, contig: Triticum_aestivum_CS42_TGACv1_scaffold_475250_6AL
CAAGUACUCCCUCCGUCCGGAAUUACUUGUCAUCAAAAUGGAUGUGUCUAGAACUAAAAUACAUCUAGAUACACCAUUUCAAUGACAAGUAUUUUCGGACGGAGGGAGUACAAG